UUUCUUCCCUGGAUUUCCUGGGUUUACGCACAAGCUUAUGACUUUUCAGUAUUACUACCGCUGUAUGAUCUUAGUUGUACGUACUAGGGGUGGCAGGAGAGGUUGUGAGCUGCUGCAAACAGCUGACACAGUAGGCACAGGUGUGCCGUCAGUAUGCAAGCGUCUGUACGACCGCGAGUGCUGGGGUGACAAGAUAGGGCUUUAUAUGAAGCUCUGCAAAAGUUUGCCCGAUUACAUCGUACCGCGCUGAGCUAUUAUUGUCAAUUUACAGCAAACACUGACCCCCAAGGUGCAUGGAUCGGCAUACGGAAAAAGUUGCCCAUGAUUUGUACAGUUGCAUUUUGCAGGAACUCUUUCUCCUCCAACUAGUAAACUUAGAAAUGAAAAAAAUAAAUAAAUAAAUAAAAAAGUCAAUGGAAUCAGAAAACACAAUACAAUAUAGUUAUCUUCCUUGUGGGGACAGGAAAAGGAACAUUAUUUGGAAUACACAAUUCCUAGAAGAUGCAUAUAUAUGGCUCAAUACAGUCCGCCUCUUUCAUUUUCCUGUGCUGCCCUCUACCAUUUCAUAAAGUUUUGUUAGGGGCCGGCACAACCAGUAUUGCCAGAAACAAAGCCUCCGAGAUGAAGAGAUGUUUCGCGACCUUUCCGCUAGGGGGAGUAUGUGCCAUGGCAUCAUGAAAAAGGCGGAUUAACAAGCAAACAGCAGCUGAGUACAGGUUCUCUUUUUUGUUCUCGAAGACAUGUUAUUCAUGAUGAUGUAAUUGGUCAUAUAAGUGUACAUAUAAAAUAAAUGUUUGAAUGAAUUACACAUGU
rnacentral:lncRNA from 1 species